CCUACGGGAGGCAGCAGUGGGGAAUAUUGGGCAAUGGGCGCAAGCCUGACCCAGCAACGCCGCGUGAAGGAAGAAGGCUCUCGGGUUGUAAACUUCUUUUUAGAGGGAAGAGAAGACGACGGUACCUCUUGAAUAAGCCACGGCUAACUACGUGCCAGCAGCCGCGGUAAUCCGGAGGAUGCGAGCGUUAGCCGGAUUUAUUGGGUUUAAAGGGUGCGUAGGCGGAUUUUUAAGUCAGCGGUAAAAUGUCCGGGCUCAACCCGGGCCGGCCGUUGAAACUGGGGAUCUUGAGUGGGCGAGAGGUAUGCGGAAUGCGUGGUGUAGCGGUGAAAUGCAUAGAUAUCACGCAGAACUCCGAUUGCGAAGGCAGCAUACCGGCGCCCGACUGACGCUGAGGCACGAAAGCGUGGGGAUCGAACAGGAUUAGAUACCCCUGUAGUC
rnacentral:rRNA from 1 species